rnacentral:rRNA from 1 species
UACGAAGGGGGCUAGCGUUGUUCGGAUUUACUGGGCGUAAAGCGCACGUAGGCGGAUCGAUCAGUCAGGGGUGAAAUCCCAGAGCUCAACUCUGGAACUGCCUUUGAUACUGUCGAUCUGGAGUAUGGAAGAGGUGAGUGGAAUUCCGAGUGUAGAGGUGAAAUUCGUAGAUAUUCGGAGGAACACCAGUGGCGAAGGCGGCUCGCUGGCUCGAUACUGACGCUGAGGUGCGAAAGCGUGGGGAGCAAACAGG